UAGUGAUUAGAGUUUGAUCAUGGCUCAGAUUGAACGCUGGCGGCAUGCGUUACACAUGCAAGUCGAACGGCAGCACGGGGGCAACGCUGGUGGCGAGUGGCGAACGGGUGAGUAAUACAUCGGAACGUGUCCUAGAGUGGGGGAUAGCCCGGCGAAAGCCGGAUUAAUACCGCAUACGCUCGAGAGAGGAAAGCGGGGGAUCUUCGGACCUCGCGCUCAAGGGGCGGCCGAUGGCGGAUUAGCUAGUUGGUAGGGUAAAGGCCUACCAAGGCGACGAUCCGUAGCUGGUCUGAGAGGACGACCAGCCACACUGGGACUGAGACACGGCCCAGACUCCUACGGGAGGCAGCAGUGGGGAAUUUUGGACAAUGGGGGCAACCCUGAUCCAGCAAUGCCGCGUGUGUGAAGAAGGCCUUCGGGUUGUAAAGCACUUUUGUCCGGAAAGAAAUCCACUGCCCUAAUACGGCGGGGGGAUGACGGUACCGGAAGAAUAAGCACCGGCUAACUACGUGCCAGCAGCCGCGGUAAUACGUAGGGUGCAAGCGUUAAUCGGAAUUACUGGGCGUAAAGCGUGCGCAGGCGGUUCGCUAAGACCGAUGUGAAAUCCCCGGGCUUAACCUGGGAACUGCAUUGGUGACUGGCGAGCUAGAGUGUGGCGGAGGGGGGUAGAAUUCCACGUGUAGCAGUGAAAUG
rnacentral:rRNA from 1 species